rnacentral:lncRNA from 1 species
CCUCUGCUGUGGUCCUCGUGAUAAGAGUGACCUUUUUGGCCUGCUCUCCCCAGCUCUUUUCCAGUCCUCAUGAAGCAGGGUAUCAGCAUUGCUGAGUGGCCUUCCCAGGAUGACACAACUGCCAGAACUCGGCCUGAGGUCUCCUAACCACAAAUCCCCCACUGGUCCCCACCCACUGGAGCACCUACUUGCCAGGCUUCUCAAGUGAAGAAGGAGAUCCACUCCGAUGUCAUCUCCCAGGAGCCUUCUCUGCAGCAUCUCAGGUCCUGGCUCUCACCUCCUCAGCACCCAUCCCAUCCUGUGUCACUCUGUGUAUCAGCCUCCCCAGCCAGCCUCCAGGCCACAAGCCAAGAGGUAUCAAGGGCUCCUCCCUGUCCCACUGGCCCCACAUCCACUGUGUCUAUCUGGUCAACUUUACCUUCCAAACAUUCCCUGCACAGUGAUAGAUGGCUGUGGCCCUGUCAUCUCUCACCUGAAAUUAACAAUGUAUCCUUGGGGCCUCCCACCCUCAUAUCUUGGCUCCUCCAGCCCCUUCUCUGCAAACAUGGAACAGUGGGAUUAUUAUAAAUCUCAGACCAGUUUUGCCCCUUUCCUGCCUGAGAGUUUUUGUGGUUCCCCACUGCCCUCAGAACAAAGCUCAAGACCCUUUGGCCUGGCAUUCAAGGUCCUUUGUGCUGCCACCUGUCAACCUCCCCAGUUCCAGCUCCUUUGGCUUUGCCCAUACAAGCUGGAUCUGCACCAGAGGAUCUGUCUUCCUCCCAACUUGGCCCUAGUCCUCCUAGGAGCCCUUUGGACGUCACCUCCCCCAGGAAGCUUUCUGCAACCACCCUACAACCGUCCCUAUAAACUUUAUAAAACCAAU